UACGGGGGGGGCAAGCGUUGUUCGGAAUUACUGGGCGUAAAGAGCUCGUAGGCGGCUUGGCAAGUCGGGUGUGAAAACUUCAGGCUCAACCUGGAGCGGCCACUCGAUACUGCCAUGGCUUGAGUCCGGUAGGGGACCACGGAAUUCCUGGUGUAGCGGUGAAAUGCGCAGAUAUCAGGAGGAACACCGGUGGCGAAGGCGGUUCUCUGGGCAUUACCUGACGCUGAGGAGCGAAAGUGUGGGGAGCGAACAGG
rnacentral:rRNA from 1 species